CCUACGGGAGGCAGCAGUGAGGAAUAUUGGUCAAUGGACGAGAGCCUGAACCAGCCAAGUCGCGUGAAGGAUGACUGCCCUAUGGGUUGUAAACCUCUUUUAUAAGGGAAUAAAAUGUUCCACGUGUGGGCUUUUGUAUGUACCUUAUGAAUAAGGCUCGGCUAACUCCGUGCCAGCAGCCGCGGUAAUACGGAGGAUUCGAGCGUUAUCCGGAUUUAUUGGGUUUAAAGGGAGCGUAGGUGGAUUGUUAAGUCAGUUGUGAAAGUUUGCGGCUCAACCGUAAAAUUGCAGUUGAAACUGGCAGUCUUGAGUACAGUAGAGGUGGGCGGAAUUCGUGGGGUAGCGGUGAAAUGCUUAGAUAUCACGAAGAACUCCGAUUGCGAAGGCAGCUCACUGGACUGCAACUGACACUGAGGCUCGAAAGUGUGGGUAUCAAACAGGAUUAGAUACCCCGGUAGUC
rnacentral:rRNA from 1 species